GAUGAACGCUGGCUACAGGCUUAACACAUGCAAGUCGAGGGGAAACGACGGGGAAGCUUGCUUCCCCGGGCGUCGACCGGCGCACGGGUGAGUAACGCGUAUCCAACCUGCCUCUGACUGAGGGAUAACCCGUCGAAAGUCGGCCUAAUACCUCAUGGUAUCGUCUGCGGGCAUCCAACGACGAUUAAAGAUUUCAUCGGUCAGGGACGGGGAUGCGUCUGAUUAGCUUGUUGGCGGGGUAACGGCCCACCAAGGCUACGAUCAGUAGGGGUUCUGAGAGGAAGGUCCCCCACAUUGGAACUGAGACACGGUCCAAACUCCUACGGGAGGCAGCAGUGAGGAAUAUUGGUCAAUGGGCGAGAGCCUGAACCAGCCAAGUAGCGUGCAGGAAGACGGCCCUAUGGGUUGUAAACUGCUUUUAUGCGGGGAUAAAGUGAGGGACGUGGCCCUCAUUGCAGGUACCGCAUGAAUAAGGACCGGCUAAUUCCGUG
rnacentral:rRNA from 1 species